CACUGUAUUCAGAUGUCCAUAGCAGAAGCUGGAAAAGCAGGGCACAGGUGUCAAAUACCAAGUCUGGAUUCAGGAGCCUGCAGGACGUACAAGGAAAUAACAGCCAUUGGUGCAGAAAUUACCCUCAAAAAGGCAACCAUGGGAAUCCAGAAAAGAGCUACAGCUAACCAACACUCUUCCUUACCUCUACAAAUGCAUUGAGUUGUGCUUUAAAGCCAUGACAUAAUGAAGAUUAAAGUAAAUAAUGCAGAAGCUUUAUAGGCUUUCUUCUCUUUCUGGGCUCUGGACAGUAGUAACUCCUCCAUUUAUUUGGACAGGUGGAAAGCAAAAUGGGGUAACCUCAUUAAUCCUUGUUUAAUUCUCUGAAAUAGCUCUAAAUGAGAUUUUAUAGUUUACACUGCGUAUAUAGAACAAGACAAUGACCCAACAUAAAGUUUUGUGAUACUGUCCUUUGGAAAACGUAUUUAAUAUGUUUGUGGAUUUCCUGCUUGUGUGUAAUACACAUUCUAGGCUCCCAUGAGUAAUAACAAACAGCCUUCAUAGCAUGCCUCAGCACACUGGCCCAUUAUGAGAACAAAUCUUCGCUUGAAAUUCAGAGCUUCCUGCUCCUGCUUGGAAGCACUUCUCUGUACCACUAGGUGGCUUUUCCAACCGGUAUCUCUUAUUUCUUUCUUCAAAGUCACUACAAGUACAAUGAAUCUGCUCUUAAUUGCAGCAAUUAAACUCGUGGAGAAGAGAGAAGAAAGCUAAUUCUUCAGCAGCUGAACUCUUAAAUUCCCCAUACUUUUACAGUGAAAUCUUUAUCCUUCUAAUGUUUGUUUCUAGUUAGUUACAGCUAGCUAGAUUACUU
rnacentral:lncRNA from 14 species